GCAUUUGGCUAAGGAACUGAGAAAGAGGUCUAGAUAUAGAAUGUGCUGGGAAAGGGUUGGAAAUCCAUGUUUUCAAAAAGAUAGAAUUCUGAGGUUUCCAUCAACUGUCACCUUAGAGGGAAAUCUCAAUCCCAGAGUUUGAUGAGAUCAUGCAAGGCACUGAUAGGUGAUAUACCAAAGAAAAAUGUUGGUUUCAAAGGAAACAAGGGAAAGAGGCUUAAGGGGGCAUGUCUAUAGAGUCACAAGGAAUACCAUCUUCUACAGUGGAUUAAGUGGCUGCCCAUGUGAAGUCCAAGCUCAAUCACCUUCCAUUUCCAACCUUCAGAGCUUCCUUCUUCGAAUGGGAUUCAUUGCCACAGCAGCCAAUCAAAAUUUUGUCAUCAUGCUCAGUUUUUCCAGAUAAGAUUGCCUGAAUAUUGUAGGAUGGGGGUUUAUUCUUCCUACAGAGAAGAUAGUAUGUGAAUCUGAAGCAAGGUCAGACCCUGGAUUCUCAAGUCAUCCUGUGCUACAAGAAACAAGUUCACCGGAUAUCCAUGUGUCCCUUAAGUAUGAUUGAACGACUGGGCUUCUCCUUGAAAUGACCAGCAGGAUGAUUUCAGAAAGCCCUGGAGAG